CUAGUUUCAGCCUAGAAGAAGACUGGGCUUCCCGUUACGCCAUACUCUUCUACCACGUGACCGAUGAAGGAUUUCUAACCUGCAACACAUCUCAAGGGGAUCUAAUAAAACAGAACGAGACAGAAAAUGAUGCAGUGGUGCCAGAUGAACUCUUGACCCUUGGAGCCAAUUAUUUCAUUGCUUCAUCCAACAGCACGUCACUGAAUUGCGAGUACGGUUUAAGAUUGAAAGUUAUGGUAAAAGAUCAGAGCUGUAAAUUACCAAACUCGGAAGAAAUUUGCAGCUCCAAUGGAAACUGCGUAUCGAAUUCCACUCAGUUAACCUACAUCUGCCAGUGCUGUCCUGGUUUUGAAGGGAAAUACUGCGAGACAUACAACCCAUGCUACAAUAAUCUCUGUCAAAAUGACGGAACUUGUAUUCCAGACCCACAAAAUGAAACCAACAUCACGUGUUCGUGUACGCAAGGCAAGUAU